GAUAAAUGUAGUUUUGUACUGUUCGUAUCCAACUUUAUCGGUUCAUUUUAGAAAUUUUUAUAUGAUUAGUAUUUGUAUUGUUAGUAGAUGAUAAAACAGAAAUAUUACCUGAUGUGUGACUAUUUUUUUUUUAAUUUUUUUAAUAAAUUUUUUAAAUAAGACGGACAAUUAGACGUUGGACACAGAUACUCACGGUUGCACUUAUU
rnacentral:pre_miRNA from 1 species